GUCCACUAAAAUCCAAGCUUAAGAAAGUAAGCUUUUCAUGGCCAUAGCAAAGGAGGGAUUUGUAAGACUAAAACCUCCAUCAACCAUUAGAUUGAUUCCGCUCACAUACUUGGAUUCAUCACUUCCCAAAUACACAGCUGCCUCUGCUAUGUCUUCCUCUUCCAACACAACAUCUUUCAAGUUACCUGCAGUUGAAACGGCUUCCUGGAUCUUCUCCUUCUCCAUUUCCAUGAGCCCCUUGUAUUUCUUUAGCAUUGGGGUUACAAUUGCAAAUGGUGAGAUACAAUUGACUCUUAUCCCAUAUUGGCCCAGCUCCACGCACAGGCUCUUAGCCAAACCAACUAGUGCAUGUUUUGAUACCGUAUAUGGAUGCGGAGCCUUUAUGCAAUUCACUGAAACAACACUUGC
rnacentral:misc_RNA from 1 species